GUGAGUUUUAAGCCCAUAGGAACUCAUUAAUCGCAUUUUAAUGCGUUUCUAUGGGGUUUUUAAUUUUGCUUAGCGAUGUUUUCGCUUAGCAACAUCUUUUCUGGAACGAAUUAACAUCGCUAAGCGAGGCACCACUGUAAUAGAAAAAGAAAAAAACAGACAUCUGUUCAGGAACAAUGGAGGUAUUAAAGGAACAUUUUGUGCAAAGAUGGACAUGAUAAAGGACAAAAAUGAGAGAGACCUAACAGAAGCAAAAGACAUCAAGAAGAGGUGGCAAGAAUAUACAGAGGAAUUAUGCCAGAAAGAUCUGGAUACCCCAGACAACCCAGAUAAUGUGGUUGCUGACCUUGAGCCAGACAUCCUGGAGAGUGAAGUCAAGUGGGCAUUAGAAAGGUUAGCUAGCAACAAGACCAAUGGAGGUGAUGACAUUCCAGUUGAACUAUUUAAAAUCUUAAAAUAUGAUGCUGUUAAGAUGCUACAUUCAAUAUGCCAGCAAGUUUGGAAAACUCAACAGUGGCCAGAGGACUGGAAAAGAUCAGUCUACAUCCCAAUCCCAAAGAAGUGCAGUGCCAAAGAAUGCUCCAACUACCAUACAAUUGCACUCAUUUCCCACGCUAGCAAGGUUAUGCUCAAAAUCCUCCAAGGUAGGCUUCAACAGUAUGUGGACCGAGAACUCCCAGAAGUGCAAGCUGGAUUUCGAAGGGGCAGAGGAACUCGAGACCAAAUUGCUAACAUGCGCUGGAUUAUGGAGAAAGCCAGAGAGUUCCAGAAAAACAUCUACUUCUGCUUCAUUGACUAUGCAAAAGCCUUUGACUUUGUGGACCACAGCAAACUAUGGCAAGUCGUUAAAGAAAUGGGAGUGCCUGACCACCUUAUCUAUCUCCUGAGAAACCUAUACGUGGGAUAGGAAGCAACAGUUGAAACUGGAUAUGGAACAACUGAUUGGUUCAAAAUUGGGAAAAUUGUCUCCCUGCUUAUUUAACUUAUAUGCAGAAUACAUCAUGCAAAAACCUGGACUGGAGAAAUCCCAA
rnacentral:lncRNA from 1 species